rnacentral:rRNA from 1 species
CAGUAGCCGCGGUAAUACGAAGGGUGCAAGCGUUACUCGGAAUUACUGGGCGUAAAGCGUGCGUAGGUGGUGGUUUAAGUCCGUUGUGAAAGCCCUGGGCUCAACCUGGGAAUUGCAGUGGAUACUGGCAAGCUAGAGUGUGUCAGAGGAUGGUGGAAUUCCCGGUGUAGCGGUGAAAUGCGUAGAGAUCGGGAGGAACAUCAGUGGCGAAGGCGGCCAUCUGGGACAACACUGACGCUGAGGCACGAAAGCGUGGGGAGCAAACAGGAUUAGAUACCCCAGUAGUCCCUGUCUCUUAUAA